AGACCUUUGCGAAAGUACGUCAUUAUGAACAAGGGAUGGGGCUUGGUGCAUCCUCCUGUUUAGCAGUUAAGCCUUUUUCAGCAUGCUAGUGGCUGUGGUGUUGCGUGGUGAGCUACCAUGCAUUUUGCUACAUGGUAAAUCUCUCUCGCAGGUGUAACUGCACAUCCAGGGGUUUCCAGUAACUUGGUUGGAGACGAAUGUACAUCAGUGAUGUGACUGCACUGCUGCUUUGUUUGUUGGUUGACCGUUUUAACUUUGUCUGUCUUGGUCUUAUUUUGGUUAACUUGGUUUGUAUGGGUUCUCUUAUUCAUUCAUGAGCAGUCAUUCAUUAACUUGUGUGAGUUCGCAGGGG